GCGCCGGUGGUGUAAGGCGAACACCGCUGCUCGGAAAGCAGAAGAUGCGGGUUCGAGUCCUGCCUGGCGCA
rnacentral:tRNA from 1 species